UACAGAGGGGGCGAGCGUUGUUCGGAAUUACUGGGCGUAAAGGGCGCGUAGGCGGCCCGCUAAGUCGUACGUGAAAUCUCCAGGCUCAACCUGGAGGGGUCAUUCGAUACUGCCAUGACUAGAGGUCGGUAGGGGAGUGUGGAAUUCCUGGUGGAGCGGUGAAAUGCGCAGAUAUCAGGAGGAACACCCGUAGCGAAGGCGGCACUCUGGGCCGAUUCUGACACUGAGGAGCGAAAGCGUGGGGAGCGAACAGG
rnacentral:rRNA from 1 species